CCUCCCCUUAAUUUCUCAUACAAAUGCUUUCCACAAUCAUCACCCUGUAGUGUAAAUCAGACUGGUGCAGAUAACAGAGUGUGGAGUCUCAGUGUUUCCACACACAUACACAAAAAACGCUGAUGAAAACGGUUGGUGCUACAGCAGAGUUCCUUGUGAACACUCAUGGCAUCAAGAAUUCCACUUAGUACAAGAAUAUUUUAGCCCAAAAUGUGGCUGUCUCUGCCAGGACGUUAAGAUCUUUCACCAAGGACGAACCCCAGGUCUCCAGGCUUGAUUUGAGAAGUAGCCUUCUGUGAGGCAGCUAGACCUGAUCUUCAUGAGUAAACAAGCAAAAAAUGAGAAAUAUGGCAGAGAUGACAUCAUUGAAUAACACCUCUCAGUUUGCAACUAUAAGACAUUAUCCUCUAAUUCUUUGUUUGGAAAAAUGAACAUUAAAGUUAAAAGUUUAAAUCUUCUGCUAUCAUUUAAAAAUAUUGUGUGUUAGUUGCAGUAAAUGAUCAAACUAUGAGAAAAAUGCUAGAAUGUGUAGGACUAAUUUGACUAGUAAUUAGACUAAUGUGCUUUGAUGCAAUAUGUGAAACACUCCUGUGUAUUUUGUUGGUUACUUGGCUCUUACGGUGGUUUGCAAAAGUAUUCAA